rnacentral:rRNA from 1 species
UAGGGAAUCUUCCGCAAUGGACGCAAGUCUGACGGAGCAACGCCGCGUGAGUGAAGAAGGAUUUCGGUUCGUAAAACUCUGUUGUUAGAGAAGAACAGCGCAUAGAGUAACUGUUAUGCGUGUGACGGUAUCUAACCAGAAAGCCACGGCUAACUACGUGCCAGCAGCCGCGGUAAUACGUAGGUGGCAAGCGUUGUCCGGAUUUAUUGGGCGUAAAGCGAGCGCAGGCGGUCAAUUAAGUCUGAUGUGAAAGCCCCCGGCUCAACCGGGGAGGGUCAUUGGAAACUGGUUGACUUGAGUGCAGAAGAGGAGAGUGGAAUUCCAUGUGUAACGGUGAAAUGCGUAGAUAUAUGGAGGAACACCGGUGGCGAAAGCGACUCUCUGGUCUGUAACUGACGCUGAGGCUCGAAAGCGUGGGUAGCAAACAGG